UUUAAUCUUUUUGUUUUACACAUUUCUCCUGUUUCUUUCAAUUCCAUAUUCAAAGAAGAAAUCCUUGGCUUUGCUAGGUUUUAGCCUCUUUUACUCGCCUUGGUUGUUCUAUGUUCCUCUCUAUUCGCGCUGCUUCCUCGUUCUCCCCUGCACCGUGUUUGUUUUCUGAUCCUCGACGCCGCAACACGCUUCUGCCGCUGCCGCUACACUCGGGGAGAUGGGAGGCCAUUUUGAAAACUUGUAAUUUCUGAAGUCCCUGGUUGCAGUGAUGAAGAUUAUUUUGAAGAAGUUUACAAUGUGACCAUUCUGCUAUUGUGCAAAUGGAGAUGUGUGGCAUCUUUCAGAUGGAGCUUAUGAAACAACUACUCUUCUCAAGGAUGCUGGAAGUUUCACGAAUCAAAUAUAUCUUUUUCCUCCUUAACCAUUGUUUUCUUUUAAGUUUGUCCCUCCUAUCAUAGUAACAUGAUAAACACUGGCACAGUUAAGAUGACUGUUGUAUCCAACUUUGAUUUCCACUUAAGGAAACUAUUGAAGGAUCUUAAUAUUUUGAAUUUGUGAGCUUCUGUAGUCCCUUCAAUAUGUUUUUACUUAACUCAUGCAUAUUUUAAGGAUGUAUUGAAAUCUUUGCAUUAAUGUUUAUGCGAACUUGCUUGUUGAACUUCUCUUAAUUUGCUCAAAUGUUACAGUGUCUGUGUACACCUUUCAUAAUGUCUGAUUAAUUAUGGUUUUUUUUUUGCUUCAGUUUGAUAAAUUUAAUAUUCAUAACAAAUAAUUU